UUCCGGUUGAUCCUGCCGGACCUGACUGCUAUCGGAUUGAUACUAAGCCAUGCGAGUCAUUGUAGCAAUACAAGGCAGACGGCUCAGUAACGCGUAGUCAACCUACCCUAUGGACGGGGAUAACCUCGGGAAACUGAGAAUAAUACCCGAUAGAACACUAUACCUGGAAUGGUUUGUGUUUCAAAUAAUUUAUUGCCGUAGGAUGGGACUGCGGCCUAUCAGUUUGUUGGUGAGGUAAUGGCCCACCAAGACUAUUACAGGUACGGGCUCUGAGAGGAGUGGCCCGGAGAUGGGUACUGAGACACGGACCCAGGCCCUAUGGGGCGCAGCAGGCGAGAAAACUUUGCAAUGUGCGAAAGCACGACAAGGUUAAUCCGAGUGGUUUCUGCUAAAGGAACCUUUUGACAGUCCUAGAAACACUGUUGAAUAAGGGGUGGGCAAGUUCUGGUGUCAGCCGCCGCGGUAAAACCAGCACCUCAAGUGGUCAGGAUGAUUAUUGGGCCUAAAGCAUCCGUAGCCGGCUCUGUAAGUUUUCGGUUAAAUCUGUACGCUUAACGUACAGGCUGCUGGGAAUACUGCAGAGCUAGGGAGUGGGAGAGGUAGACGGUACUCGGGAGGAAGUGGUAAAAUGCUUUGAUCUCUCGAUGACCACCUGUGGCGAAGGCGGUCUACCAGAACACGUCCGACGGUGAGGGAUGAAAGCUGGGGGAGCAAACCGGAUUAGAUACCCGGGUAGUCCCAGCUGUAAACUAUGCAAACUCAAUGAUGCACUGGCUUAUGGCCAGUGCAGUGUUGCAGGGAAGCCGUUAAGUUUGCC
rnacentral:rRNA from 1 species